rnacentral:rRNA from 1 species
AUUGAACGCUGGCGGCAGGCCUAACACAUGCAAGUCGAGCGGUUGAGGUAGCUUGCUACCGAUGCAGCGGCGGACGGGUGAGUAACGCGUGGGAAUCUGCCCAGUAGUGGGGGACAACAGUCGGAAACGACUGCUAAUACCGCAUACGACCUACGGGUGAAAGUGGGGGACCUUCGGGCCUCACGCAGAGAGAUGAGCCG